UACGUAGGGUGCAAGCGUUGUCCGGAAUUAUUGGGCGUAAAGAGCUCGUAGGCGGUUUGUCACGUCGGAUGUGAAAGCCCGGGGCUUAACCCCGGGUCUGCAUUCGAUACGGGCUAGCUAGAGUGUGGUAGGGGAGAUCGGAAUUCCUGGUGUAGCGGUGAAAUGCGCAGAUAUCAGGAGGAACACCGGUGGCGAAGGCGGAUCUCUGGGCCAUUACUGACGCUGAGGAGCGAAAGCGUGGGGAGCGAACAGG
rnacentral:rRNA from 1 species